rnacentral:rRNA from 1 species
UACGUAGGUGGCAAGCGUUGUCCGGAUUUAUUGGGCGUAAAGAGCUCGUAGGCGGCCUGUUGCGUCCGCUGUGAAAGCCCGGGGCUUAACCCCGGGUCUGCAGUGGAUACGGGCAGGCUAGAGGUAGGUAGGGGAGAAUGGAAUUCCCGGUGUAGCGGUGAAAUGCGCAGAUAUCGGGAGGAACACCGGUGGCGAAGGCGGUUCUCUGGGCCUUACCUGACGCUGAGGAGCGAAAGCGUGGGGAGCGAACAGG